CAAUAGCGUAUAUUAAAGUUGUUGCAGUUAAAAAGCUCGUAGUUGGAUUUCUGGUAGGAGUGACCGUUCCGAACUUGAUUGUUCGUGUAUUGUGUUUUCUCCAGCCAUCCUUGUGGAGAACUUUUCUUGCAUUAAUUUGUAGGGAUUGGGACCCGCAUCGUUUACUGUGAAAAAAUUAGAGUGUUUAAAGCAGGCAAUCGCUUGAAUACAUUAGCAUGGAAUAAUAAGAUAGGACUUUGGUACUAUUUUGUUGGUUUGCAUACCAAAUUAAUGAUCAACAGGAGCAGUUUGAGGAUAUUCGAAUGAACAUGUCAGAGGUGAAAUUCUUGGAUUUUGAUCAGACGAACUACUGCGAAAGCAUUUAUCAAGGAUGUUUUCAUUAA
rnacentral:rRNA from 1 species